UAUAAGCAUUUAUACAGUGAAACUGCGAAUGGCUCAUUAAAUCAGUUAUCGUUUAUUUGAUAGUUCCUUUACUACAUGGUAUAACUGUGGUAAUUCUAGAGCUAAUACAUGCUUAAAAUCUCGACCCUUUGGAAGAGAUGUAUUUAUUAGAUAAAAAAUCAAUGUCUUCGGACUCUUUGAUGAUUCAUAAUAACUUUUCGAAUCGCAUGGCCUUGUGCUGGCGAUGGUUCAUUCAAAUUUCUGCCCUAUCAACUUUCGAUGGUAGGAUAGUGGCCUACCAUGGUUUCAACGGGUAACGGGGAAUAAGGGUUCGAUUCCGGAGAGGGAGCCUGAGAAACGGCUACCACAUCCAAGGAAGGCAGCAGGCGCGCAAAUUACCCAAUCCUAAUUCAGGGAGGUAGUGACAAUAAAUAACGAUACAGGGCCCAUUCGGGUCUUGUAAUUGGAAUGAGUACAAUGUAAAUACCUUAACGAGGAACAAUUGGAGGGCAAGUCUGGUGCCAGCAGCCGCGGUAAUUCCAGCUCCAAUAGCGUAUAUUAAAGUUGUUGCAGUUAAAAAGCUCGUAGUUGAACUUUGGGCCCGGUUGGCCGGUCCGAUUUUUUCGUGUACUGGAUUUCCAACGGGGCCUUUCCUUCUGGCUAACCUUGAGUCCUUGUGGCUCUUGGCGAACCAGGACUUUUACUUUGAAAAAAUUAGAGUGUUCAAAGCAGGCGUAUUGCUCGAAUAUAUUAGCAUGGAAUAAUAGAAUAGGACGUUUGGUUCUAUUUUGUUGGUUUCUAGGACCAUCGUAAUGAUUAAUAGGGACGGUCGGGGGCAUCAGUAUUCAAUUGUCAGAGGUGAAAUUCUUGGAUUUAUUGAAGACUAACUACUGCGAAAGCAUUUGCCAAGGACGUUUUCAUUAAUCAAGAACGAAAGUUAGGGGAUCGAAGAUGAUCAGAUACCGUCGUAGUCUUAACCAUAAACUAUGCCGACUAGGGAUCGGGUGGUGUUUUUUUAAUGACCCACUCGGCACCUUACGAGAAAUCAAAGUCUUUGGGUUCUGG
rnacentral:rRNA from 1 species